UACGGGGGGGGUAAGCGUUGUUCGGAAUUACUGGGCGUAAAGGGCUCGUAGGCGGCCAACUAAGUCGGACGUGAAAUCCCUCAGCUUAACUGGGGAACUGCGUCCGAUACUGGAUGGCUUGGAUUUGGGAGAGGGAUGCGGAAUUCCAGGUGUAGCGGUGAAAUGCGUAGAUAUCUGGAGGAACACCGGUGGCGAAGGCGGCAUCCUGGACCAACACUGACGCUGAGAAGCGAAAGCAUGGGGAGCGAACAGG
rnacentral:rRNA from 1 species